UGUGGACUACUUGGGGAAAAGCCUAGAUGUCCUGUUGGCUCUGAUGAAACAGAGCUUCAGUAAUUGAUACCAAAUCAGAUUCCCCCCCACCCUCCUGUCCUGCCAACCUGUUGCUUAGUGGAUCAAGCAGAUUUAUACACAAAGACCUAAAACACUGUUUAUCUAGACUCUCUAGUUAAACAGUGCCAGCAUUAGUGUAGUGGGAAAGAUGAUAUCUAACUUAUAUAUACUAUGUUAUAAAGUUACUAAAAUAAAGAUUGACUUGGUUUAAAAAAAACAAUGAUAACCUAAUUGUCAUGAGUUGAUGUCAU
rnacentral:lncRNA from 1 species